rnacentral:rRNA from 1 species
AUUGAACGCUGGCGGCAUGCUUUACACAUGCAAGUCGAACGGUAACAGGGAGCUUGCUCCGCUGACGAGUGGCGAACGGGUGAGUAAUACAUCGGAACGUGACUAGUAGUGGGGGAUAACUACUCGAAAGAGUGGCUAAUACCGCAUGAGAUCUACGGAUGAAAGCAGGGGAUCGCAAGACCUUGUGCUAAUAGAGCGACCGAAGGCAGAUUGGGUAGGUGGUGGGAUAAAAGCUUACCAAGCCGACGAUCUGUAGCUGGUCUGAGAGGACGAUCAGCCACACUGGGACUGAGACACGGCCCAGACUCCUACGGGAGGCAGCAGUGGGGAAUUUUGGACAAUGGGCGCAAGCCUGAUCCAGCAAUGCCGCGUGCAGGAUGAAGGCCUUCGGGUUGUAAACUGCUUUUGUACGGAACGAAAAGCCCUGGGUUAAUACCCUGGGGUCAUGACGGUACCGUAAGAAUAAGCACCGGCUAACUACGUGCCAGCCGCCGCAGUAACAC